UUCAAGAAGCUGCGGCUGGACGACGACGACGACGACGACGAGGCGGAGCGGAGCCUGCGGACGGCCUUCAAGAAGCUGCGGCUGGACGAGGCGCGCAGAUGGAUCGCGGCGCAGCCUGCGGGCGACGGGACGGUUCUCACGGCGCCGAGGAGAAGAGAUGCAGACGGAGCCCCGCAACCGUCCGUCUGCCAGGAAGCACGCAAUGGGUGUGAGAGGACCUCCGGAGGAUCGGCCGGUCUCUCACGGCAGAGACGUUCCAGGUCUCCUGUCCUAUCCGUGUGUGGAACAGCCUCCUCCAGUUCACCUGCGUUCUACUCUGAGGAGGCCCACACUUACGUAGAUGACACAAGUGUGGAAGACCUAACAGGAUACCUGGAGCACUAUUUAUUUAUUCCAAAGAAAAUGUCUCCCAUGGCUGAAAUGAUGUAUUCCUAAAUGAAAGCCAUAGGGAGUCACAUAGUCAUAAAGUUUAGUUUUUUAAUUAAA